CGGCGACCCCGACCUGGACCAGCCCCGGCGCGGAGGCGACUCGGGGUCCGUGGAGAGUGGCGGCGGGCGGCGGCGGGCCGGGCCGCGCGGGGCGCGAUGCUGAACAUGUGGAAGCACCAAUGUGGUUAUGAAUUAUUCAGAGAUCGAGUCCAAAGUUCGAGAAGCAACGAAUGAUGAUCCUUGGGGACCUUCUGGGCAGCUCAUGGGAGAGAUUGCCAAGGCUACUUUUAUGUAUGAACAGUUCCCAGAACUUAUGAACAUGCUUUGGUCCCGAAUGCUAAAAGACAACAAAAAGAAUUGGAGAAGAGUUUAUAAG
rnacentral:lncRNA from 1 species